rnacentral:rRNA from 1 species
GCACAUAUUGUGAGCUCGAUGAGUAGGGCGGGACACGUGGUAUCCUGUCUGAAUAUGGGGGGACCAUCCUCCAAGGCUAAAUACUCCUGACUGACCGAUAGUGAACCAGUACCGUGAGGGAAAGGCGAAAAGAACCCCGGCGAGGGGAGUGAAAAAGAACCUGAAACCGUGUACGUACAAGCAGUGGGAGCCUCUUAAUGGGGUGACUGCGUACCUUUUGUAUAAUGGGUCAGCGACUUAUAUUCUGUAGCAAGGUUAACCGAAUAGGGGAGCCGAAGGGAAACCGAGUCUUAACUGGGCGUUAAGUUGCAGGGUAUAGACCCGAAACCCGGUGAUCUAGCCAUGGGCAGGUUGAAGGUUGGGUAACACUAACUGGAGGACCGAACCGACUAAUGUUGAAAAAUUAGCGGAUGACUUGUGGCUGGGGGUGAAAGGCCAAUCAAACCGGGAGAUAGCUGGUUCUCCCCGAAAGCUAUUUAGGUAGCGCCUCGUGAAUUCAUCUCCGGGGGUAGAGCACUGUUUCGGCAAGGGGGUCAUCCCGACUUACCAACCCGAUGCAAACUGCGAAUACCGGAGAAUGUUAUCACGGGAGACACACGGCGGGUGCUAACGUCCGUCGUGAAGAGGGAAACAACCCAGACCGCCAGCUAAGGUCCCAAAGUCAUGGUUAAGUGGGAAACGAUGUGGGAAGGCCCAGACAGCCAGGAUGUUGGCUUAGAAGCAGCCAUCAUUUAAAGAAAGCGUAAUAGCUCACUGGUCGAGUCGGCCUGCGCGGAAGAUGUAACGGGGCUAAACCAUGCACCGAAGCUGCGGCAGCGACACUAUGUGUUGUUGGGUAGGGGAGCGUUCUGUAAGCCUGUGAAGGUGGCCUGUGAGGGUUGCUGGAGGUAUCAGAAGUGCGAAUGCUGACAUAAGUAACGAUAAAGCGGGUGAAAAGCCCGCUCGCCGGAAGACCAAGGGUUCCUGUCCAACGUUAAUCGGGGCAGGGUGAGUCGACCCCUAAGGCGAGGCCGAAAGGCGUAGUCGAUGGGAAACAGGUUAAUAUUCCUGUACUUGGUGUUACUGCGAAGGGGGGACGGAGAAGGCUAUGUUGGCCGGGCGACGGUUGUCCCGGUUUAAGCGUGUAGGCUGGUUUUCCAGGCAAAUCCGGAAAACCAAGGCUGAGGCGUGAUGACGAGGCACUACGGUGCUGAAGCGACAAAUGCCCUGCUUCCAGGAAAAGCCUCUAAGCAUCAGGUAACAUCAAAUCGUACCCCAAACCGACACAGGUGGUCAGGUAGAGAAUACCAAGGCGCUUGAGAGAACUCGGGUGAAGGAACUAGGCAAAAUGGUGCCGUAACUUCGGGAGAAGGCACGCUGAUAUGUAGGUGAAGCGACUUGCUCGUGGAGCUGAAAUCAGUCGAAGAUACCAGCUGGCUGCAACUGUUUAUUAAAAACACAGCACUGUGCAAACACGAAAGUGGACGUAUACGGUGUGACGCCUGCCCGGUGCCGGAAG